rnacentral:rRNA from 16 species
CGCAGAAGGUGACAGGCCUGUAGGGAAAGUGCGUGAAGACUGAUGUGACUCCUGAGUAGGUCGUUGUUCGUGAAACGAUGACUGAAUCCGCGCGGACCACCGCGCAAGGCUAAAUACUCCCAGUGACCGAUAGCGAAUAGUACCGUGAGGGAACGGUGAAAAGAACCCCGGAAGGGGAGUGAAAGAGAACCUGAAACCGUGGACUUACAAGCAGUCACAGCCCCUUAUGUGGGUGGUGGCGUGCCUAUUGAAGCAUGAGCCGGCGACUUAGACCUAUCUGGCAAGCUUAAGUCAAGAGACGGAGGCGGAGCG